GCGGGUAUAGCUUAGUGGUAAAGUCAUAGCCUUCCAAGCUAAAGAUGUGGGUUCGAUUCCCACUAUCCGCU
rnacentral:tRNA from 1 species